AUACUUACCUGGAAGGGGCAAUACUUUGAUCAAGAAGGUGGUUUGCCCAAAGUAAGGCUCAGCCAUUGCACUCAGGCUGUGCUGACAUUUGCAAAUUCAUGCAGGAAUCUUGACUGCAUAAUUUGUGAUAGUGAGGGACUGCAUUCGCACUCUCCCCUU